rnacentral:rRNA from 1 species
AACGAACGCUGGCGGCAGGCUUAACACAUGCAAGUCGAACGCCCCGCAAGGGGAGUGGCAGACGGGUGAGUAACGCGUGGGAACAUACCCUUUCCUGCGGAAUAGCUCUGGGAAACUGGAAUUAAUACCGCAUACGCCCUACGGGGGAAAGAUUUAUCGGGGAAGGAUUGGCCCGCGUUGGAUUAGCUAGUUGGUGGGGUAAGGGCCGACCAAGGCGACGAUCCAUAGCUAGUCUGAGAGGAUGAUCAGCCACAUUGGGACUGAGACACGGCCCAAACUGCUACGGGAGGCAGCAGUGGGGGAUCUUGCGCAAUGGGCGAAAGCCUGGCGCAGCCAUGCCGCGUGAAUGAUGAAGGUCUUAGGAUUGUAAAAUUCUUUCACCGGGGACGAUAAUGACGGUACCCGGAGAAGAAGCCCCGGCUAACUUCGUGCCAGCCGCCGCUGUAAUAC